UGUUAUUUAGGGUCAUCUUAUUUGGAUAAGAGAUUAUUCAGUUCCACUGCUUCCCUCUACCACUCAUCUUUUACCACUCAUCUUUUGAGCUUUUUUAUAGCCAAAGACUUUUACCUGAAAAUGAAGAGGAAGACACCAGUCGCUUC
ensembl:misc_RNA